rnacentral:rRNA from 1 species
UACAGAGGGUGCAAGCGUUAAUCGGAAUUACUGGGCGUAAAGCGUGCGUAGUCGGUUAUUUAAGUCGGAUGUGAAAUCCCCGGGCUCAACCUGGGAAUUGCAUUCGAUACUGGAUAGCUAGAGUUCGGCAGAGGGAAGCGGAAUUUCUGGUGUAGCGGUGAAAUGCGUAGAUAUCAGAAGGAACAUCAGUGGCGAAAGCGGCUUCCUGGACCGGAACUGACGAUCAGGCACGAAAGCGUGGGGAGCAAACGGG